rnacentral:rRNA from 1 species
AGCGAACGCUGGCGGCGUGCCUAACACAUGCAAGUCGAACGUGAAAGGGGGCAACCCUGAGUAAAGUGGCGUACGGGUGAGUAACACGUAGAUAAUCUACCUCAGAGUCUGAAAUAACCUGCCGAAAGGCGGGCUAAUACUGGAUAGAGCGACGGAAUCCGUAAUUGGGUUUUUCGGGAAAGGGAGGGAGCAAUCCCCUUCGCUUUGAGAUGAGUCUGCGUCCCAUCAGCUAGUUGGUAAGGUAAUGGCUUACCAAGGCUUUGACGGGUAGCUGGUCUGAGAGGAUGAUCAGCCACACUGGAACUGAAACACGGUCCAGACUCCUACGGGAGGCAGCAGUGGGGAAUCUUGCGCAAUGGACGAAAGUCUGACGCAGCCACGCCGCGUGAGUGAAGAAGGCCUCCGGGUUGUAAAGCUCUGUCGGGCGGGACGAAAAUAUUUAGGGUUAAUAGCCCUAGAUACUGACGGUACCGCCAAAGGAAGCACCGGCUAACUUCGUGCCAGCCGCCGCAGUAAGAC